GCCUGGGUGGCUCAGUCGGUUGAGCAUCUGACUUCAGCUCAGGUCAUGAUCUCACGGUUUGUGGGUUCGAGCCCCGCCUCAGGCU
rnacentral:tRNA from 2 species